UACGUAGGGGGCAAGCGUUGUCCGGAUUUAUUGGGCGUAAAGAGCGUGUAGGCGGCCAGGUAGGUCCGUUGUGAAAACUGGAGGCUUAACCUCCAGCUGUCGAUGGAAACCAUCUGGCUAGAGUCCGGAAGAGGAGAGUGGAAUUCCUGGUGUAGCGGUGAAAUGCGCAGAUAUCAGGAAGAACACCCGUGGCGAAGGCGGCUCACUGGCUCGUAACUGACGCUCAUGCACGACAGCGUGGGGAUCAAACAGG
rnacentral:rRNA from 1 species